UGCAAAGGGAGAAGUCAGAGGUGGGAGAAGGCCGUGAGGUGAGACACCCAACUAGCACUUCAUGCCCUGGGGCAGGGGAGGGAGGCAGAGGGGAGAGGGCAGGAACAGGGCUUUUGCCCUCCCUAACCCCCAUAGGGAGACUGGGCAUGCAAAAGUCCCCUGUGUAGCCGGCAGCAGGGGGACAUGUGAAGACAUGGAGAAGGGGCUGGUGCUGGACCCACAGGGGCUUCUGGAAACUAGGGAGUGAGAUGCUUCCGGGCUGGCCUGGGCUCUUCCUGUGCAGCAGAGCUCAGCAGAGCUGCAGGGGAGGCACCUGCAGCCCAGAGCUGGGUACAACCCCCGUGGGCCUGCCAGAAUGGGACAUCUGAGCAAGGAGAGAACCAGCAAGAACCCAGCAACCUGGGGACCUGGGUUAGGAGUAAACCUCGCUGGGAGAAGAAUGUCAUAAGCUUAGGUUUGGUGCCUGCGGCCUGGCAAAGCUUAUGCAGGAGGGAGCAGAAUGUCCAAUGGGAUGCAGCGUGAGGCUCUGAGGGGGCUGCAUGCACACAGCACAGUGCAGACAUGCUGCAGAGAACGCAGAGCUAGAGUUGACACCCUCUGCCUCUCCUUACUUUGAGUGUGCUCUGUGGGCUGUGUGCAGGCCACUACGACCUCUGCAGUCCCCUUUUCAGGAGCCAGGCUCACCUGCAGCUUUUCCACUGCCUGGGCCAAGGGAUCGGGGGAGAUGGUAUUGCACCGGGGCCUGGUGGGAAGGCCCCUGCCAGGUUGAUGCUGUGUGAAAGCCACUCUGAAGCCCUGGCCUUCAUCUUAUAUGUGGAACUUCAUACAAUAGGGAGGCACUGGCUUUGGAUAGCUCUUGGCCGGCAUGUUUGUUCAGAGAUAUUUAAGUUAGUGUGGUUACUUUGGGAACUACUUCUGUUUGUCUUCAAACUCAGUGAGAGGCUGCUGGCAUGAUGGAUGUGAAAUUUAUUGUUUAUUGUGUGCUUAUUUAAGACUUUAAAAUGAAUGUGCAUCUAUUUUUAUAUAUUGAUCAUUUAUUUUUAAGAAAUAAAAAUUGCCUAGGCAACUGGUCAGUUUCCAGCUAAUUGGAUGAGAGAAGCAGCUGGUAUUUACGGAGCCUCAUAGAGUCACAGCCACCUCCCGGGUAUCUUGUUUGAGGCCACACAGCCAGGCCAGGCUCUUCCCAUGAUGGAUCUCCACCACCCUAGAGGCAGCAGGGAAGUGGGCAAAUUCCAGAGCCCACAGCAGCCAGGCAGGAGGGACAGAAGCAGAGCCUGUCUGCUGAGCUACAGAAGGCUGGGGGAUCUGGGGGGUGCAGUCCCCAGGAGGCGCUGGCCCUGCUCCCCAACGCCCAGCGCUCCUGACAUCUAGGCUGGAUAAUUCUUCCAGUGGCUGGACACUGUCCUCUCUGGUUCAGGGUGCCUAACCGUGUUCGUGGGUGAGAACACGAACCUUGGAGUCAGCUGUCUAACUUCGGCAUGUGCUGGUGACAGGGCGGUGGGCAGCUAUUUAACCUCUCAGUGAUUCAGUGGCCUCAUCAGUAAAAGUUUUCAUUUUUGGUAACGUCGGCUGAAACAGUGGCUGCUUACACAGGCACAGUGAAGUGCAGCCUGCAGGAGACACUUGAUGACCUAAGCAGAACAACCCACCUACCAGAAAUAUCCAGCUUUAGGUUAAAUCUACUUGGAGAUUUACAACACUCUAGGGACUCUCUUUCAAGGAAGCAAAAGGUAAAGUUCUCCCCUGCUACGAUUAAAGGACUGAAACAAAUUCUGACUGCUGAGUCUACUGGUUCCACCAAACUGAACAACGAAGAAUCCCUAUUUUGGCUAAUAAGAAAUGCUAAUUAUUAUUUCUUUCAGAGAUGGCUCCUGGCUUACUAGGGUUAAGUGUGCAAACAUAAAAAAGAUCUGUAAUUAUCCUUUAAAAGCACACGUGAGUUCUGUAGAUUUGGGCUCACAAAGGCGGAGCACUGGGAGACUGGUGUGGAUUUUUGCCACUCAGAUAAAGUAUGAAGAAGCUUUUUUGCCCCUGGACUGAGCUGUAGUUCUUUCUCUGAUCUAUCUUGGCCUUUUCUGAACUCCCCGCUACUGAACUAUGCAAAUAAAAGGAAGCUACAAGGACCCAUUGGAGAGAGAGGAACGAAGAGAAGGCCUGUUUUAAAUACAAAAAGUUCUCUGUUUACAAACUUUCAAUAAGACAAAACUUUGUGUGCUACCAGUCACUGGUGUUAGUGGUCAACUGCACAGUGUCAUUCUGGACCUAAGCACAGAGAUGAAGAAUACUUCAUAUCGAUCUUAAACAAACUGUUCCGGAAAACAGAAUAGAUAAUAAUGUAACCACAGCAGUCUGGUUCAACUUUUAUGUAACAAAGUUGUGAGUUGUUUUUCAUUUGCCAUGGAUCCACAGGUUAAAGGUCACAUAACCUGAGCAUGCCCAGAUGAACCAGGUAUGUAACAACAGGCAGAACCUAAGUGCCUGGAUUGAGGCGAGUGAAUGGAAUUUAGAAAUGGAUACCACAUGGCAGGAUCCAGGAUCCAAUCAGAUCGAGCUGUGGCAUCACUGCAUGGCAGGAUCCAGUCAGAUCAUGCCUCUGAUAUCAAUUCGUUGCAAGAUCCAAUCAGAUCAUGCCUCAUUACCCUAUGCUUAUAAAACCUGACCCAGCCCUUUGCUCAGAGACACUGCUUUGGGAACUAUCUCCAGUGUUCUCCUUACUUGUUACAAGUAAUACAAUCCCCUUGCUAAAUCCUUGUCUGUGGUCAUUGGGUUGGUACCUGUCAAGUGACCAAACCCACUCGUGUGGGUAACAACAAGAAGAAGAUAUUUUAUGAGCCUGGUGUAACCUUGUACUCAAAUCAGAUAAGGAUUUUAUAAAAAGGGAAAUUAUAUGCCAUUUUUCACCUAUGAACAUAGAUAUAAAAAUACUAACUAUAGUACUUACAAACUGAAUCCAAUAUUAAAAAGCAUAUC
rnacentral:lncRNA from 1 species